UCUCACGUCUUAUCCUUCCGUCCGCCCCACACAUCCAAAACCGAAACAGCCGGCUCCCCGACACACGUCAGCAGCAGAACUGCGGCGGCCGCCGCCAUCGCUCCCCGGCGACCGAUCUAGAUUACAUCUUGCACCGGCCAACGGAUCGGAGAGCACAAGACCGGCCGAACCUGAGAUUUAUUGGAAUAAGAGAUCUGAAAGAGGUGCAUGUGGUCAAGUCCUGGAUCUCAUUGUUUGCUGAAUUUUUGUGGACGGAGAAUUUUCCGGUGCUUUGUGGAUGUUCCUUCUGGAUGGGGGCCGGGUGUCUCACGUGGAAGAAUCGACUCAUAUGGCUUCUGGCGGUCAAUGCCGUCGUGUCGCAUCGUCGAUCCCAGCUAGCCGUAAACAGAUUGACAUAUAUCUUUAAUUAUUUUGUUUGUGGACGUAUGAUCAAAUGGAUUCAGAAAUACUCUAUCUGUUCCGAACGGAGGGGGUAGUGAUUCCAGCUGCAAUUUCAUCUUUGGGGAAACAGUAUACCCAGCAAAAAGAAACAGUAGCUCUGGUGGCUAAUUUAAUCACUCUGUAGAAACCUUUCAUUGAAGGAUCAAGAACCGCACCUUGCUUCCA